ACGCUUGAAGUCAGUCGCGUCGUCCGGGAAUCAGCCUUCCUUCUGGUUGGUGUACUUCCUGGUCGACGGGCCAGCAUCAGUUUUGACCGGUGGAGAAAGUUCGAGGGAAUGUGGCACCUCCGGGUGUGUUAUAGCCCUCGUUCGUAUACAUCGGUUGGGACUGAGGAACUCAGCACGCCGCAAGGCCGGGAUUCGUCCACGUUCGUGCUUAGGAUGCUGGCAUAAUGGCUUUAAUCGACCCGUCUUGA
rnacentral:rRNA from 1 species